ACGGUGGACGACACAGCAAACAGCUCCGCUAAAGUAGUUCUGCCGAUGAUGCAGUUGUACAGCGAAGGACAGUCGACGACCAUGAAUUGUGUCCUCACGGAUUUCAUAGCCUUCUCCUCACCGAAGGUGACGAUGAGAUCCACGUAUCCCCAAGGUUUGGUAGUCGACCCAUUGAACCCCUGAAGGUCGGGUCCUACAUAUGGAACCAAGUUCUUCUCUGACAGCUGUAGAGUUUUGAAUAGCCCCGAGUACAUUACGUCGCACGAGCUCCCCUGAUCUACGAGGAUGCGGUGGACGUCGAAGUUUGCCAUGCGAGCCCUCACCAACAGUGGUAUUUGAUAGUUUGGUGAGCCCCCAGGAACUUCUGACUUGUAGAAGGCCAGCGGGUCGGAGUCUCCCUCAGGUUUGGCGACGGUGAUGGGAGUCACCGAACAAACGUUUUCCAGCUCCUCGAAUUUCCUUUUUACCGAUCCGAGGGUGAUUUUGUUUAGCCCUCCACCUGUUAUCACCAGCGCUUUUGGGAAAUUUUCCCAUGAG
rnacentral:lncRNA from 1 species